GCUAAGACUCCUAUUUUUAUUCAUUCUCCCAGGAACCCUUUAGGAGUAGACAUCCACCUUGCAAGGAAAAUUCGAUGCCCAUCAAAACCUCACCAUCUGAAUGGCACAGCCAGAAUGGCAAUUCUGCCAUUUUCUUUUCAAAUCUUUUUUCUUUUCCUAAUUCACACUUUCAUACUCACAGCUCAUACCCUUGAUAUCAGAUAUCCACCCCAGACCCUUACAACUGGGGUAGGCUUCCAGCAGGCAAGAGACAGCUCCUCAAGCCCAGAACCUCGAGAAGAAUAUGAAUACAGGACUAUAUACAAAGUGAGUGCAGUGUCCAGGGGCUAAACGAAGCUGCCGACGAAAAUUUGGCAUCUGCCACCUGCUUCGACAAGGAGGAUGUCGCCAGCCACUGCGUCUGCUGAGCUUCAGCUCCCCUGAAAGGAGCUCAGGAGGGAGAUCAGGAGCGAGGCCCUCUGUGCUCUGGAAAAGCUGGCAGAAUAGGCCUCAGACAGUUUGGCAUCUUCAGGAGAAGAUGGAUGAGGCCAAUUCUUGCAUUUCCUCGUAUCUAGAAAAGCACUAAAAUCAUUCACGGCAUCUGUUCUUGGUGACGAGUAGCAGCCUGCACAAGAUUAUUAGCAGCAACCACUGCAAAAUGUGUGUCUGACUGCACGUGUCCCCCCUUCGCAAUAUCUCGUGGACACACGGCCCGCCUUCGGAGCAGCUCCGCAGAGCUCUCGGAGAGACUGUCUUCCAGGCCACACUCCUCAUUUUGCCCCACGUAAGACCUAACUCCCCUUCUUCAAGUUGUGCCCCCUUUUUUUCAGUUGACACCACCCAUCACUUUUUCCAGGACCAAAGUUAAUGGGAGGCUGACAGGUUCCACGACCAUGUGGCAGGGGAGGGGCCGGUGAAGUAAGGUGGGUACCCUCCUCUCCUGCCCUCCAGGCUCCUGCUGGUGCCUCCCAUUAGGGAAGCCCACCGAUGCACCCUGCCUCCUGGGCCCAGUGCAGGGUGGGGACAGGUGAAAGAGUGCACCUGGGGAAGCAUGCGGAAGGCAUGCCACCGAGGCUGCCCCUCAUAAGCAGGGCAAGGUCAAAGACGGUGGCGGCUGCAGGGCCACCCAGCACAACCUCUCUCUCUGCUCCUGCAGAAAUCACUCCCUUCCCGUAGCCUAGAGAUAACGGUCAAGAGUGCCCUCUUUUCGGGGAGCGUUAGCUAACAAAAAUACAGGAGGCCAGUUAAAUCUGAACCUUUUCUUUUUUUUCUUUUUUGGCCACUCUGUGGCAUAUGGAGUUCCCGGGCCAGGGAUCAGAUCCAAGCUACAGUUGUGACCGACGCCUCAGCUGCAGCUAGAGCAAUGCUGGGUCCUUUAACCCACUGUGCUGUCCAGGGGAUCAAACCUGCAUCCUGGCACUGCAGAUAUGCCACCUAUUGCCACCACAGAAGAAACUCCUAAAUCUGAACUUCUGAUAAACAACGGGCAAUUUUUAGUCUAAGUAUAUCCCAUGCAAUAGUUGGGAUACACUUAAGCUAACAUCUACUGUUUAUCAGAAGUUCAAAUUUAACUUGGUGUCCUAUAUUUAACCUGACAAAAUUUUCCAAUUGUACAAUAUUAUUGCUUCUGUCCCAGAGGAUAAAGGCAAACAAUGUUUCCACAAGUAUGUUAUUAUAUUUCGUAUUAAUCCUGGGCUCAUAAUUUUACUUCUCCUUUCCAAUUUAAUUAUUGAGUCUUCCCUUUUUUAAAAAAAAUAUGCUAUUUUUAUUCAUUGUAAUAUAUAAAGACUCUCUCCAUUGAGAAUGUACUGAUUCUACUUUCAUUGAGGUCAUUCCUGAAUUGCCUCUUUUCUCAGGAGAAUACAUUUUUUAGAAGGGCAUUAAGCUUGGUGUUCUGUUGCAAGGCAAUGAAGUUUGGAUACUUCUCUUCCAUGCGCAAAUGGGAAAGAAGGAUUUUAAGGAGAAAUCAUCAUUUAAGAAUCUUCGGUAUACUUCUAAACAUAAGAAACAUAUGAAUCUUUUUUUCUUUUGGCUUUUUAGGGCCACACCCAUGGCAUACGGAGGGUCCCAGGCUAGGGAUCCAACUGGAGCUAGAGCUGCUGGCCUCCGCCACAGCCACAGCCAUGCCAGAUCCGAGCCUCGUCUGCGACCUACACCACAGCUCAAGGCAACACUGGAUCCUUAACCCACCGAGCGAGGCCAGGGAUCAAACCUGCAUCCUCGUGGAUACUAGCCGGGUUUAUUUCCACUGAGCCACACCGGGUGGCCUCAUCAUCAAAGCCUAGUAUCUAACUGUACUGACCAAUGACCAGACCACCUGUUUUGUUGUUGUUCACUUGAUUCCGCCCUUUAACACAUCAUUUUACCCCUUUUGUGUCAUGUUGAUGAUGUGGCUGGUUCCUCAACAGCACAAACCCACCGUAGUCUCUGGAAGAUGACUGGUCACCCCGCCUACAUUGAAAAAUGUACUUGACACCGGCUGACCCCUCUAGCUAUAGGCCAUGACACCGCUGCAGCCUUAGCGUCCAGUUACUCCUGUUUUCCCAGAAAAUGCUUCCGUGAACUGACGCCUCAAGAAUCUUGUCCUCCGUGUCCCAUUCUCCUGGCUUAAGAUCCACAUGCAUUACACUGGCUCUGAGCAAAAGGCGCAUCAUCAGCCCUCCUUGUGUGCCAACACUGUCCUUGGGUUUUAUUUAGAAAAGCAACAGUAGUAACUCCUCACACCCCUACAGACUUCUUGACCUUGUAACAAAUAUUAGACAUGUAUUAUCUCAUUCAGUCUUCACAAUAGAUCCGUGAGGGCCUCUUUCCCCGAUUUCCCCGAGUAGGGAGCUCGCCAGGUUGAGAGGUAAAGGCCAAGCGAUAAGCAGAGCCAGUGGCGACGCUCCGCACUCAAGGAGCUCUCCCCUCUCGGCAGUCGUGCGCUGGGCAGAAUGACUCUGCUCUUAAGUGACUCGGUCACAAGUGACUUCGGGCAGGGAGGGAGGAGAGGCAGUGGCCUACCAUUACAGAAUCUAACUUGAGGCAUUUUUCCUGACUAUCAGCAGUUCUUAUGCACAAAAUAAAAGGGCCCCUUAAGCAAUGGGCCACGAUCAAAGCACCUUAGUGGGGAGCGGGCCAGCAGACACAUAUACCAUAUGACAUGACUUUUUCACACAAUCCAGUGUAACAGUUCCAAUGAGAGGCGUUUUAAGUUUACCUUAACUCCUUCUGGAAGGGUACAUGAGCACAUCAACAGAGGCAAAGCUGUAUGGGGCACAUCUACAAACAGCCCUCCUUGGAGCCCAGGGUUUCAGGGCUGGAAGGGACCAUAGGCAACACAGCCUCGCCAAUCUCAAACAGAAGUCCCAGUAAUUAGGAUCCUUGAAGAUGUGUCCAGGAAUAUGAAUCCAAGCUAUAAGCACAUUCAUAACACUCAUGCUUCAAUGUCACAUAAUAAAAAGCAACUUCAAAUAUUAUUUAAUACUGAACCAAACCAUACAAUGUGACAAAGAAUAAAAAUCUACAUGAAUUUUCAAGACUUAAUACAGACUUCACAGAUGGUUUAAGCUAAUAGCAGGCUGCUCUGGGCAAAUUCCAAACCCUCUGGGAUUUUAUGUUAUGUUGCCUUAGGGGUAGGCAAAUGGAAAGAUUUCAGAAGAACUAAACCUUGUCAAACAGAAGCCGAAUAAAACUUGAGAUCCAGACAAGCAACCUGAUGAAUAAAGAGGUUAGAGUUCACGAUUGCACAAGAUGUCAAGACUCUCCUGCUUUUCACAGGAUGCCACGUCUAGUGUCUGCACUGGCUGAGCACGUGCGGGUUGAAUUCGGCUGGAGCACGCUGAAGGACUGAUGCUAGUCUGCGAGAAAUGCCCUACAAAUGCACUGCAAACUAAGUGGCGUAAACAGCAGUUUUAGCGGAUGCAAGUCAGAGACCGAGGCGUCAGAAAGGCCAUGCUCCCUCUGAAGGCUUUAGGACAGGACCUGUGCCAGGCUUUUCUCCUAAGUUCUGGCAGUUCCUUGGCUGGUAGCAGCAUAACUGCAGUUGAGAUACUGCAUUCUCUGUGUGCGUGUGUGUGUACCCCAAUUUCCCCGUCACUCUGGAUUAGGUCCCACCACACCCCAGGAUGAUCUCAUCUUCAUAUAACCAAUUACAUUUGCAAUAAUCCUACUUCCCAGAAAGUUCACAUUCUGAGGUCCUGGGGCUUAGGACUUCACAUUUGAGUAGGUGAGCAGACAUAAGUUGACCCUUCACGCAGGUCGAGCCCAUUUUGGCCCAGACUCAAUGAACCAGGUGGUCCUGAGAAACGGUAGCCAGGCUCAAAGUCUCCCUGGCCCACCAAUCAGGCUUCCUUAAGUUCGAAACGAACAACUGACCUUGUUUUCAAAAUUCACUGCAACCGCACAGUCUAAGAUUUUCAACUUGACAUCUUGCCGGUACCAUCCUACAGAGUCUGUAAUUGGUGAAUUUUGUUGGUCUUAGGUUAAGAUGUACAGGAAAAAAGGCAACAGGAGUUUGAGCUAGCUGCUCGUAAGAGAACAGAAAUCCAUUUGCUUGCACUGCAUUAUCAAAGGAGGCUUUUUUGAGAUGCCUGAGUAUUCAUGAAGUGAUAAGCAAGAGGCAGAAAAAUCUACGUUACUCUUGAGUUAACCCCUUUUUUAUUUUCGGGUCAAGCCUUAGAUUUAGUGUCACUGACGGUGUAUUCCUGCAUUUUUAUUGACAAAGUCGGGGAAUUCACAUAACUGAAGACUCAAGACCUGGUCUGGAAGAAGCAUUUAGGGACGGGGCUGUGCUCUGGCCUCAGUGAUAUUUCAGCCUCUGCCCAUGUGCACGUGUGCUGAUGGCACUGGCCUCCCCAUGGCCUGCCUCCGGCACCAGAGUCAUGAGAGGUACCUAGCAAUGGCAACUUUUGAAUCUUUCAUGAAAUGAUUCUCCUUUUAGUGAAAGUAGAGGUUUACAACAAUGAGCAGAAUGUGAAAAAUGCUACUUCUGCAUCUGAGCACAUUUGCUCACUCAAUAAACAUGCCACCGAGAAAUAAGGGUUGUAAUUUCAAAGCAGUUUCGUAUACCCAUCAGACGGCAGCUCCGUUAUGUUUCUGUAGUUCCAGCAAAUGAGACUUUGAAAAAUCAUCUCUUAAAAUACAUUUUCAUGUCACACUGGAGUAUUUAAAUUAACAAAGACUCGACAGUGACCAUCCCUCACAGUAAAAGCGAUCCUUUGAUUCAGCAAAACUGCAAUAUUCAUAGGUACCCAGGAUAAUCUCCUUCUGUCAAGCGCAGCUGACGAGCAAGCUCACUCGCUCUUGCCAUGCCACGUAAAACAGUCACAGGCCCUGGGGACCAGGAUAGGACCUCUGGCCGACACGACACUGUCUAGCACAUAUGCUAAUAGACAUGCGAUAAACAACUCGCUUUAUAGCACCAGGUAUUUUGUUUUACACACGGAGAAGCACUGUCUCGAGGAGGGUUCCACUAACCUCAUCAGAUUGCCCAAGAGCUCCAUGGCACUCAACAGGUUAACAGCCCCUGAUUCCAGACGGUGAGGCUGCCAACUACUUCGGCUACUACUACUAACUACUGUUACUAACAGUUACUAACUGUUACUGUCACUAACUACUGCCACCGAGCUUCCUUGAAUGAAGCCUCAAGCACAGAGGCACUGGCAUCUCUUUAAUUCUUUAUUUCCCAACCACCUUCCCCAACAAUAGGACCUACGAGGUUAUUUUUACAGAUGUGGAAACUACGGCCUGGAGAGUGACGUGCCAAAGGUCAGAGAUGAAUCGCAGAGCUGAAUGCGAAGAGCACCCCACUGCCCCCUGACCUGGGAGGACCCCCCUGCUUCAGGGCAUUUUACACCGUAAUGUGUCCACCUACUGCCUGAUGGGCUCAGACUAAGAAAAAAUUAGUCUUACUGUGUUCACAAUGUUUUUCCCUCUUAUGAAUCUAAUUUGUCUCAUCAGAGUCCAAAACAUUUUUGAAAAAUAAACUUCAGUGACCUCUGUCGCCAGCUUCCUCGCAUCCUCCAGGACCUCACUAAUGGGCAUUUAUGGCAAAGCGGCAUGCUUCUCUUGCUGCAGCCAGGGUAAGCCAGCCAGCAGGUGCCAACACUCUCCAGUAGCUGUCGGAUACCGACUACGAAGCACACCUGCUGCUUUUUCCGUCUGUUACCUUCCCCAGGAAGCUACAGGAACUCACUGAAACGAAAGCACACUGAAGCGCUGUACUCUGAAUCUUUAGGUCUCUUUAAUUGAACUGUUAAUCAGGAUUCUAUUGCCUCCAGCUGUUUCGGGUCACAAAGACAGAUCUAGUUCUGCUUCUUUGGUGUGUAAAAUCGGGAGAGCAUCUACACUCUGCAACGGAGCCCUCUCGGACACACACACGCGCACAGCUCCGAACUGAAGGGGGCGGUUGCGCUACCGAGGACUGCUUAUCACUGCGUGUUAGUGCAGGCUGUCUCUGCUACUGGGCCUCUGACUAGGGGCACUUCUCUCCUAAGCUUUCGAAGGGAAGGUGCUGCUGUUGCAUAUCUUGUCGAAGCUCCAGCGUUUCUCCUCAGCAGCUCUUCGCCGUGUCUGGUGGGAGCAACCACAGGACACAGACAUCUCGCCCUCACUCCUGUCCCGUCAGCCUUAGAAGCUCGGGUGACCCAGGCCUGGAAGAGGAAGAGAGGAGAGGAAGGGGCGGAGGGAGCGAAUAGGAAAGAGGCACGGCUCAUCACCCAGCACCUCCAGGGUCGGAGGCGGACUCCUAGGCCAGGUGAACACCAGGACUUGGGUCAUGACCAAGGCCAUGGCCACGAGGAUGCAGCGCUGGACCGAAGCCUCCAGCCCUGCCUCCUUCUUCUCGGCUUCAUGGCUCCCCUCCGAUUCCCAGCACAGCUCCUGCCUCAGCUCUGCCGCAGGAGAACAGUCCACCUCUCUGAGCCAACAGAGGUCUUGCUGGGGAACGCCUUGGGCAGCAGGUACUGCAUUAAGAUACACAGAAUAAAAGCAAGCUCUCAACUGGCAAUACCGCUGGACACCAAUUUUGUAAAGAAAAAGAAGCCCUGGGGAGGCUACAGAAAGGACUCAGAUAACACACACCGUCAGGGGUGGGGUGGAGAUCCAGACCCGCGCUGCCCGCGUUCAGGACCAGCCUCCACAUGUUCUAUAGGAAUUUGGAUCCGCCCUUGGACAGGGGCAAUGCGGAGUCACUGAUGAAUCAUCUCUGGUCUGGGGUGGGUGUGAAACUAGAAGUGCUUUGCAUUCUCUCCUCAGAAAUCCUCUGUAGUUUUAAACUACCCAAAUGAAACACGUUUUAUUUUACUGUCAGGAAAAGAAUUCCCAUCAUUUAAAGUCAGCACCUAGUGGAAAUGGAAUUUCACACUGGCUUCCACGUCGUCCUCUGAAGGAGACACGCGGGGUGGUUAUGCGGUCCCCUGGUGCCCUGUGACUCCGAAAAUUCCCGUUAAGACGGAGGCUUCUGCCAGCUGGAAGGUCAGGCACUGUUCGGGAUUCGGUCCCGUGGCUGCGACCGCCUCCUGCCACCAGCGUCCGCAUUUCCUAGGUGGUCGACAGGACAGGGGAGCUUGGGGACAGCCCUGACGGGCAAGAGCUGGCGGCAGCCGUGGGAACCACGUGGCCCACCAGUCACAGAUGACCGCUAGGCCCAAACUGAGGGCGGCGGAGUCCAGAACCUCAGAAAUGCAGCACUGCUUUAAAGUUCUAAUGUGGCUGCAUCCAGCAAAGUGGAGGGAGAGAUCAUUUCCAUGGAGGGAAGUAUUCUCUCGUGCUAAAACUCCCUCCCAGUCGUUUUUAACUGGUUUAUUGACUAUUGGAGUAGAAGAGAAAAAUCUAGCGAUACUUGCAAUUCACUCACAACAAUCCGAGAAAAGGUCUGGUACAUUCUAAGAAAAAUUCUGUAUCUCAGACCUUUCUCAAUCCAUUCACAAUUGCCUGUUGCUUCCCUCAAUUCGGACGCACGGAAUUCGAGAGAACACCUCUAAACGGCAAAUGCUGUAACAAGCUCCCCUUACUGGAUGAAAACCCAGAAUCCCUGAAUUUCCCCACCUGUUUACAGGAGCCCUUACGUUGCCAAGGGAACAGGCUGUUGCUAAGGUAUGAGGUGGCUGUCAGAAACUUCUAGCUUCCAACCUGCCCAUUAAAUUGCUCUUUGGGGAUCUCAGCCCGGCACGCGGCAUCCCUGGGGGAGUCGCUAAUGACUGUGACAUGCGGGGCCACUUGCUUAAAAUCCCAACGUGCUUCCCACAUCCAGUCCCCGUGCGCGUGGCGACGACAGCAUUCUUGACUCUUCACACGUCGCCAAUAACUCUAUUAAUCGAAGCAUCUCUCUGUGAAAUGAGCCAAGUAGCUCUGGUUGGCCCUUUUUCAUUCAGGAGAAUAUUUACUGUGAUGCAAAGAGCCAUUAAAACAACAAUAUACAAAAUCAUCCACUGUAAUGUACAAACUGAAUAUAACACUUUACUUGGUGCGUCUUUUGAGACUCUUCAAAGGUUUACUGGGAAACUUUGUAAUGAAUGCCCUGCCCGCCUGCAUUUCUAAAAUAUGCAACCCAUCUGCUAAGCUUCUCUGUUACCCUGCAAAACCAAGGAGCCCUGUCAAAGCUCUCUCCCCCACAGCUGGUCUUAGCAGCCAAGGCCACACGUGCUGGGACGGUGACCACACCUAGCGCAUCUGGUUUUCAGAGCAGCGCUAGAGAAGGCAUAGUCCAAAGAAUUAGAUCCUCUGUGCGAAGCGGAAUGCCAC
rnacentral:lncRNA from 1 species